rnacentral:lncRNA from 1 species
CUGCAAUAAGGAUGAAAACUCAACCAAGUCAUUCUUGAGUCACAUUGCAGAAGUUAAAUGCAAAAAAGAACUCAUAAUAUAACCAACUACAUAUGAUGAACCAACCAUAUGUGAUAACGGUAAUGACUCCCAACUUAGCUAGUCUUACGUUACUAGACAUAGUAAUUAGCAUGAAGACAAUUCAACCAGUAAAUUACACAGCAAGAAUUACAAAGAGCUUUACUUACCUGUAACUUGGAGAUGAGGGACUGUACGGACUAGAAGGUGUGAUCUUUGGACUAGUAGGCGAGUAUGCUAGGGAAGGGCUGUAUCUGGCUGAGGGAUUGUAACUCGGUGAUGUAAGUAUGCUAGGGAAGGGCUGUAUCUGGCUGAGGGAUUGUAACUCGGUGAUGUAGGGCUGUAACUUGGAGAGGUAGGGCUGUAACUGGGGGAGGUGGGGCUAUAUCCAGGAGAGGUUGGGCUAUAUGCAGGUGAGGUGGGGCUGUAUGAUGGAGAAGUUGGACUGUAUGACGGAGAGGUGGGGCUGUACGAUGGAGAAGUUGGACUAUACGAUGGAGAAGUCGGACUGUAUGACGGAGAAGUCGGGCUGUACGCAGGAGAAGUCGGGCUGUAUGCUGGGGAAGUUGGGCUGUACGCAGGAGAAGUAGGGCUGUAACUUGGAGAUGUAGGGCUGUAACUUGGCGACGUUGGGCUGUAACUAGGUGAUGUUGGGCUGUAACUGGGAGAAGUUGGUGAAUACGAUGGACUUGUAGGAGAAUAUGCAGGACUUGUUGGGCUAUAUCCAGGAGAACUAGGGCUAUAGGUCGGGGAAGUGGGACUAUAACCAGGGGAAGUGGGGCUAUAACCGGGGGAGGUGGGGCUAUAUCCAGGGGAGGAUGGACUGUAUCCAGGAGAUGAUGGGCUGUAGCCUGGAGACGAUGUCGGUGAAAAAGCCAUUCCACCAGCGUAAGG